AUUGAACGCUGGCGGCAGGCCUAACACAUGCAAGUCGAGCGGAUGAAGGGAGCUUGCUCCUGGAUUCAGCGGCGGACGGGUGAGUAAUGCCUAGGAAUCUGCCUGGUAGUGGGGGAUAACGUCCGGAAACGGGCGCUAAUACCGCAUACGUCCUGAGGGAGAAAGUGGGGGAUCUUCGGACCUCACGCUAUCAGAUGAGCCUAGGUCGGAUUAGCUAGUUGGUGGGGUAGAGGCCUACCAAGGCGACGAUCCGUAACUGGUCUGAGAGGAUGAUCAGUCACACUGGAACUGAGACACGGUCCAGACUCCUACGGGAGGCAGCAGUGGGGAAUAUUGGACAAAGGGCGAAAGCCUGAUCCAGCCAUGCCGCGUGUGUGAAGAAGGUCUUCGGAUUGUAAAGCACUUUAAGUUGGGAGGAAGGGCAGUAAGUUAAUACCUUGCUGUUUUGACGUUACCAACAGAAUAAGCACCGGCUAACUUCGUG
rnacentral:rRNA from 1 species